rnacentral:ncRNA from 1 species
GUCUCAUGGGGUGCCGAUAAUAAAGGCUGAGAUUACACCCAUUUCUUUAAAAAGAAAGGACCUGAUCCAGAUAAUGCUGGCGUAGGAAUUGAAAAAAAU